rnacentral:rRNA from 1 species
AUUGAACGCUGGCGGCAGGCCUAACACAUGCAAGUCGAACGAGUGGCGGACGGGUGAGUAAUGUCUGGGAAACUGCCUGAUGGAGGGGGAUAACUACUGGAAACGGUAGCUAAUACCGCAUACCAUCAGAUGUGCCCAGAUGGGAUUAGCUAGUUGGUGGGGUAACGGCUCACCAAGGCGACGAUCCCUAGCUGGUCUGAGAGGAUGACCAGCAACACUGGAACUGAGACACGGCCCAGAAGCCUACGGGAGGCGGUAGUGGUGAAUAUUGCACAAUGGGCGCAAGCCUGAUGCAGCAAUGCGGCGUGUAUGAAGAAGUCCUUCGGGUUGUAAAGUACUUUCAGCGGGGAGGCGUUACCCGCAGAAGAAGCACAGGCUAACUCCGUGCCAGCCGCCGCGGUAAUAC